ACCGCCCGGGAGCGGACUAAAUGUACAAAGUUGCUGAAGCCUUCAGAGUCCUGCUGGGAACAGCAGAGAGCACAUUUUUGACCUUCUCGGGAGCUCAAACAGCACCCAAGAGCAAACGAGCACCUUUCCUCCCAGCCCACAUCCUCCAGCAUGCUGAGCAAACCCACCCAGUCAGAUGGACUGCUCUGAAAUCUCAGUCCAACUGCAAAAGCCCAACUUCAGCUUCACACACCCCCCACACCCUAACAGACCAAACCACAAAAACCCUCUAAGGAAAUGUUUUCAUUUUCUAAUUGUAUGCCUGACUCAGCAGCUGACAAAAAUGUCUGUAAGGUAAAUCAGCAACAAUGUUGGAUUAAUUUGUUUAAAGUAUUGCUCAAAAUACUCUUCAAUCUGUGCAUCCCUAUAUUUUUUUUCCUAAGUGGAAGUACUGAAUAAUCCAAAGAAAAAGAAAGCCUCAAGACCUUGCAUUUUUUUACUUGGUUUUUGUAAAAUACUUGGAGAUAACCUGCAGAUUUUUCUACAG